AGCGAACGCUGGCGGCAGGCUUAACACAUGCAAGUCGAACGCCCCGCAAGGGGAGUGGCAGACGGGUGAGUAACACGUGGGAACGUACCCUUUGGUUCGGAACAACUUGGGGAAACUCAAGCUAAUACCGGAUAAGCCCUUAUGGGGAAAGGUUUACUGCCGAAGGAUCGGCCCGCGUCUGAUUAGCUAGUUGGUGAGGUAAUGGCUCACCAAGGCGACGAUCAGUAGCUGGUCUGAGAGGAUGAUCAGCCACACUGGGACUGAGACACGGCCCAGACUCCUACGGGAGGCAGCAGUGGGGAAUAUUGGACAAUGGGGGCAACCCUGAUCCAGCCAUGCCGCGUGAGUGAUGAAGGCCUUAGGGUUGUAAAGCUCUUUUACCCGGGACGAUAAUGACUGUACCGGGAGAAUAAGCCCCGGCUAACUUCGUGCCAGCCGCCGCGGUAA
rnacentral:rRNA from 1 species